CUUUUGUUUUCUCUGUUAACAGUGGGUCAGAUGAGUAAUGUGAAAGUUGUUACUCACUGUGACAAACCCACAGAGAUUCAUCACUGUCGGCAAUACAGAGUUAUUUAUUGUCUGUCGCCUCAUUGUUUUGGUUUUACGGCCCACAACUUUCUUCUUUUUUCUUUUUCUGCAAAAAAACUCUGCCACUGUACGCCAUCCGCCCAACACCAUGACCAAGUUAGCUACUCUAGGCUGAACAUUUCUGGCAUUUAAGACCAAAAUUAAAUUGUGUUUCAAAAGCAGAACUUAAAGGCAAAGCAAAUAUUGUGCUGACAUUUAUCAGGAAUUAACCCAUCUGCACUGUGCUCACUUCUUCUGUGAGCUUUGUCAUUCUUCUCAGUUAUUGAUGAGUUUUAAAGGACCAUGUGGUGUUUUUGUUUUUUAUUUAUUCCCCCUCACUCACUCUCUCUCUGUACACAUUUCCCCUCCCACUCUCCCUCCCCUCCCUCUCUCUCUCUGUCUGUGCCACAGGCCUGUCGCCCCUCAGUCCAGAUUUAGACCUCAGUCUUUCCCAGACAUUUAGACCCUGCUGGCUGAAGCCUGUCCGGUGGUGCACAGGUUCCCUCGUCUUCUGUGUCCAGUACCUUCAUCUUUCCUUCCUCCCUUUAUCCACCCUUCUUCGCCAUGCCUGCUCUCUUUCAUCACUUCUUUAUUUGACAUGGUAGCAGAGCCUGCCAGAUGUCUGGGUUGGACUGCAGGGCGAGGGUUGUAAGUCCAGGGUUUUGGCAGUUGGUCUGCUCCCAAAGAGGGAGACCUUCUGCUUCUCUUUUCCAGCCAUGGAGCCUUUUGCAGAGGUGCCGUUAUUUGAGAUGGACCAAGACGAGGAUGAGGAGGAGGAUGUUCUCUCAAUGAAGAGCAGAGGCGACUGUACACAUGCAAGACAUGAUCUUGUGCCCCCUGCAAGCACAGAGCAUGACACAUUUAUAUACACGAACUUCAUGAAGAGUCACUGCUGCUAUGACGCCAUUCCUACCAGCUCCAAACUGGUCAUUUUUGACACAACGCUACAGGUGAAGAAGGCCUUCUUUGCACUGGUGGCUAAUGGUGUGAGGGCAGCACCACUGUGGGACAACAAGCUUAAGUGUUUUGUGGGUAUGCUGACCAUCACUGAUUUCAUCAACAUUCUCCAUCGUUAUUACAAGUCUCCUCUGGUUCAGAUCUAUGAGCUUGAAGAACACAAAAUAGAAACAUGGAGAGAGAUUUAUCUACAGUACUCUAUCAACAGACUGAUCAGCAUCACUCCUGACUGCAGUUUGUUUGAUGCCAUCUACUCCUUGUUGAAGAAUAAGAUACAUCGGCUGCCGGUCAUCGACCCAGUAUCAGGAAAUGUCCUCCACAUCCUCACUCACAAACGCAUCCUCAAGUUCCUCCACAUCUUUGGAUCCAUGAUUCCUAAACCCAGGUUUCUUCAAAAGCGGAUCCAUGAAGUGGCGAUCGGUACCUUUAAACAGAUUGCGACAGUCCAGGAAACAGCCUCCGUAUAUGAUGCUCUCACCAUUUUUGUAGAGAGAAGAGUGUCCGCUCUGCCUGUAGUCAACGAGCAAGGUAAAGUGGUGGCCCUGUACUCCAGGUUUGAUGUCAUUAACCUUGCAGCCCAGAAAAACUACAACAAUCUCAACAUGACGAUGCAGGAGGCCAUCGCCUCUAGAGCAUGCUGUAUGGAGGGAGUCCUCAAGUGUUACCCUUACGAAACACUGGAGACCAUCAUUGAUCGCAUCGCAAAGGCUGAGGUACAUCGACUGGUGUUGGUUGACAGUGAUGAUGUGGUGAGAGGGAUUGUCUCUCUAUCUGACCUCCUACAAGCCCUGGUUCUUACUCCUGCAGCUUCACGCUCCUUCUGGCAACCUACUGUAUCUCCUUCUGCUCCUGUGAACACUCAUGUUCCUACUGAACAAACUCUUCGUCAUCCAAAUUUUCAUCCUCCUGAAGACAAUGGAGCUCUUUCUUCUCUUCCUGUAAGAUAUUCUCACCAUCAAAGUUCCAAAAUCUUCGGAUCCUUUCAGCUACCCAUCUUGUAUUCCUACCAAGAUCAGCCUCUCCUAUUGAAAUCCUAUUUGAAAACCCUCUACCCAGCCAACUAGACACUAUUGAAUAGCCUAAUCAAUCUUCGAAAACAACUUCCAAACCAGUUCUGUUGCCUCUACCAAAAUCCCUUGACCCUUAUCGUCUACGUUGUCACCAGACCUCCACUCCUUCUCCCAAACAUAACUCUUUCGUCAAUCAGCUGCCGUCUUCAUGAUGCAGUUUCUUCUAUGAAACCACCAUCACCUCUUAGCCAACACAUCCCAGAUAUCUUUGAGAGAUCAUGCCGUCAAGACUGAAGAAAACAAGAUGGAGACUGAUCACAUAAAACAUGACUGUGAGAUGGCAAAAUUGGAGAUUAGCAGAGCAGGGUAAUGACCCCAGAGGACAAAUAGAAAGUGAAAAAGGAAACACUUUCACGCUUCUGUGAAGCGAAGCAGCUCAGUGGUCGCCAAUAAACAACUGUGGUUGUGCUGGGAAGCUACCAAUGUUGAUGUACAUAUCAUAUGGCUGGAACACAGCAUCGAACUGAUGAUGCACAUCCAGAGACUUUUAAACUGAACUAAAGCAUUAAAUCUGAGGUUAUUUUGCAAGUUGGGUUACUUUGGAAUUGAGAUUUUUAAAAAAGUGAUGUUUAAUGGUUUGUAAUUAACCUUUCUGGUCUUAGAAGGAUUACAAAUGACUCAUUCAUAUAUUGAAAAUAUUAGAUCAUACAAUUAUGAGCAUAUUUUUGUAAAUACACUUGUCAUUGUGAAAGAUAAAUAAAUAUAUCCCCUUGAAGUGCACUGGUAAUUACAAUACUGC